GCGCGGUGCCCGCUGCAAGUUCCAGGCGCUCUCUCUCUCUGAGCUCAUCCCAUCCUCCUCCAAGAGGGAGGAGGCCAGGGCCGCUGAUUGUUGCUACUGCUGCUAUUACUCUGGCUGGGAGGGUGGUUCCACUUCUCAACAUCACCGCCGGGGGAAAGUAGGGUGGGGAGGGGAGGACCUCCUUCGAGCAUCCGCUGCUGAUGCUGGACUCUGCAGCAUCCUCCUCCUCAGUCCCAGGGAAGAUGGAUUCGCUUGGUACCUCUCCCCCUUUGAAGCAGCUUCUCCUGGUCUGCGCGGGGGCAUCCAGAGCAACUAAUGAGGACACCUUACCAAGGAAUGCUACACUGUAGGUGCUGAGAAGACUGGGACUAGAGGGGGGGAGGGGGGCAAUAAAUAAAUGAAUGAAUGAAAUGGCAGCACCUAUUUGAAAGGCAUUCAAACCCUCAUAGACUCAAUUCCACAAAGAACAAUGUCCAAGAAAGGACGGAGUAAGGGCGAGAAGCCUGAGGCGCUGAUUGUGGCUCUUCAGGCGGCCAAUGAAGACCUCAGGACCAAGCUCACUGACAUUCAAAUAGAACUGCACCAGGAGAAGUCUAAGGUGGCAAAACUUGAAAGAGAAAAAACCCAAGAAACCAAACGAAUCCGUGAACUGGAGCAGCGCAAACAUACAGUCUUGGUCACAGAACUUAAGGCCAAACUCCAUGAGGAAAAAAUGAAGGAACUGCAGGCUGUCCGAGAGAACCUGAUCAAGCAGCAUGAGCAGGAAAUGGCACGGACGGUCAAAGUACGUGAUGGGGAGAUCCAGAGGCUUAAGUCAGCCCUGUUUGCCCUCCGGGAUGGCAGUAGUGACAAAGUAAGGACAGCAUUGACCAUUGAGGCCCGUGAGGAGGCCCGGAAACUCUUUGACUCAGAACGCCUCAAGCUUCUCCAGGAGAUCACUGACCUUAAGUCAGCCAAAAAGCAGGUGGAUGAGGCACUGAAUAAUAUGAUCCAGGCUGACAAAAUCAAGGCUGGGGACCUGCGGAGUGAGCACCAGUCCCACCAGGAAGCCAUCUCCAAGAUCAAAUGGGAAUGUGAACGUGACAUCCGGCGGCUGAUGGAUGAAAUCAAGGCCAAGGAUAGGAUCAUCUUUUCCCUGGAAAAAGAGCUGGAGACGCAGACAGGCUACGUCCAGAAGCUCCAGCUGCAAAAGGAGGCUUUGGAUGAGCAGCUCUUCCUGGUGAAGGAAGCUGAGUGCAACAUGAGCAGCCCCAAACGAGAAAUUCCAGGAAGAGCUGGAGAUGGCUCUGACCACUGCGGUAGCCCUGACUUACGAAGAAACCAGAAGAGAAUUGCUGAGUUGAAUGCUACCAUAAGGAAGCUAGAAGAUAGAAAUACAUUACUUGGAGAUGAAAGAAAUGAGUUGUUAAAACGUGUACGAGAAACUGAAAAACAGUGUAAGCCUCUCCUGGAAAGGAACAAGUGCCUCACCAAGAGAAAUGAUGAGCUGAUGCUGUCUCUUCAGCGAAUGGAAGAAAAGCUAAAAGCUGUCACCAAGGAGAAUUCUGAAAUGAGGGAUAAAAUGACAUCACAUCCUCCUUUGAAGAAGUUAAAGUCUCUGAAUGACCUUGACCAAGCUAACGAAGAACAGGAGACAGAAUUUUUAAAACUUCAAGUCAUUGAGCAGCAAAAUAUUAUUGAUGAAUUAACUAGGGACCGGGAAAAGCUUAUCCGUCGCAGAAAACAUAAGAGAAGUUCCAAACCAAUUAAGAGGCCUAUUUUGGACCCAUUUAUUGGAUAUGAUGAGGACUCCAUGGAUUCAGAAACAUCAUCCAUGGCCUCCUUUAGGACAGACAGAACACCAGCCACUCCAGAUGAUGACCUGGAUGAGAGUUUGGCAGCUGAAGAAUCUGAGCUGCGGUUUCGCCAGUUAACGAAAGAAUACCAGGCUCUCCAGAGAGCGUAUGCCCUUCUGCAGGAGCAGACAGGAGGGAUCAUAGAUGCUGAAAGAGAAGCCAAGGCCCAGGAGCAGUUACAAGCAGAAGUGCUCAGGUAUAAAGCCAAAAUUGAAGACCUGGAGGCAACUUUGGCUCAGAAGGGACAGGAUUCACACUGGGUAGAAGAUAAACAACUUUUCAUUAAGAGAAACCAGGAGCUUUUAGAAAAGAUAGAAAAACAGGAGACAGAAAACAACCGAUUACAACAGGAACUGCAAGAUGCCAGAGACCAGAAUGAGCUGCUGGAGUUCCGAAACCUGGAGCUGGAAGAAAGAGAAAGAAGAUCACCUCCAUUUAACCUACAGAUUCACCCAUUCUCCGAUGGUGUAAGCGCACUACAAAUAUAUUGCAUGAAAGAAGGUGUCAAGGAUGUGAGCAUCCCAGAUCUCAUUAAACAGCUUGACAUUCUGGGUGACAAUGGGAAUUUACGGAAUGAAGAACAAGUGGCCAUUAUUCAGGCCAGCACUGUACUUUCCCUUGCAGAAAAGUGGAUCCAACAGAUCGAAGGGGCAGAGGCUGCAUUACAUCAGAAGAUGAUGGAACUGGAAAGUGACAUGGAACAAUUCUGCAAGAUCAAAGGUUACCUGGAAGAAGAACUAGAUUAUAGGAAGCAAGCACUUGACCAAGCUUAUAUGAGAAUCCAGGAGUUGGAAGCCACUUUAUAUAAUGCUUUGCAGCAAGAAACUGUGAUCAAAUUUGGUGAAUUAUUAAGUGAGAAGCAACAAGAAGAAUUAAGAACAGCAGUAGAAAAAUUACGGAGGCAGAUGCUGAGAAAGAGCAGAGAAUACGAUUGUCAGAUCCUUCAGGAGAGAAUGGAACUGCUACAACAAGCCCACCAGAGAAUCCGAGACUUAGAAGACAAAACUGAUAUCCAGAAAAGACAAAUAAAGGAUUUAGAAGAAAAGUUUCUGUUCCUAUUCUUGUUCUUCUCUCUUGCCUUUAUUCUUUGGCCUUGAUGUCAAGGUGCCUCUUAAAGUAGAAAACAGAUACCAAGUAGCUAUGUUACCUGGUCACAAGGAAAGUCGAUGAUGGAAUUUCUACAUCAGCAAAAUUGAUCCAGUCCUGGAAAGUGACAGAGGCCCAGAACAGCAUCCACUGGGCCCUCUUAAGUGGGGAGAAUGAUCUUUGUUUGAGUUGAAGAAAGGGAAGAAAAGAGUUAUUAAAGGAUAGAGAGUUACAGACAACAUGGAUGAGACCUUAGACAAGCUAAUGCUUCCAAACAUGUGAAGAUAAAAAAAAUUGUUUACACCAAUGGGGUAUUAAAACAAAAAACAAAACAAAAAAACAAAAAAAACAAGAACUACCCAGUAGCCAAGACUACUACCCAUGUAUUUUAAAGCCAUUAUUCAAGAUUUCUUACUUGACAGUUCCUACAUGAUCCUGUCAAAAAUCUACAAUAUAUGCUGCAUUUAAUGACAACUGUAGAUGUUGAACUAGAAGAAAAGAACUAUGAACAUAUAUUGUUUAAAGAGAAAUAUCAAGGAACCAUUUUCAGCAGGUCAAGCAAAGAUGUGUCUUGGGCAUGGAACCAAAGUUACAAUGGAACAAUAUUCCCCUGCUGUGCAGGGAGGUCAUUUUAAUGUAACAACAAUACCCCACAAAAAAACCAGUUCUUCUAAUUAAAAAAAACACACACACAACAUUUUAAAAAGGGGAGGGAGGGAGGAAGGGAGGUAAUAAGCACGAUGAAUACCCUACAAACUAUAAGGAGCUAUUUACAAUAAAAUAUUAAAUUUGAAAAGUCUGGUUUCUUACUAUAGGGAUUCGUUUUUCUUCCCCCCCCCAAUAUUUUUUUGGUUAUUAUUUUAAACUCAGGAACAGUAACAGCUGCAAUGUGAACAGAAGAAGAAACUUAAUCUUUCUUUUCCUUCAACAUCAAGAGACAGAUCCUGUACUCUGAAUAAGAGACAACUGGGAAGCAGAUUGUGGCAACAGCAGCCAAAUCCACCACCAAGCUAAAGAUCCCCAACAUCACCAAUGAAGGGACAUUUGCUGCAGCAUGGGGAUUCUUGACAAUACUUGCCUCAUUGCCCCUCCUGGAAAAACAGACUAAAUAUCUGGCCUCUGAUUUAAAGAUUAAAGAAGAUCAGACCCUGAAUCCUUACUCUUCCAGCAUGGUUAAAAAAAUCAUAAUCGGAAUAUAACUAUGUAAUAUGAUCGUGGGAGCACUGGCUUCAAGGUCAGAAAUCAUCUCUGUGUAUCUGAAACCCAAACUAUGGCUGUUAGGAUACUUGUUUAAACUAAUUUUCCAAGAAGAAAUUUACAUUAUUUCAGUGAAAACAAAGAAAUGGAACCUUUGGAAUGAGGGGAUGCUAUGCCCAGAGAAGUUUAUUACAAGGAUGAAACAAAGCUAUUUGAAAAGAUAACCAAUACCCCCUUUAAAAGCCUCACUGGUGCAGCUAUGAGAUGUUGCUCCCUUGCUGCUUGGAGUGAUGACACUUCACCCAGAUAUGCCAUCUUGUCAAGGUGGCUCCACCUUGGAGAAUGCGUGGAAAAUGUGUUCUCAAAGACAUUUUAAGUAGCUCAAUAUCCUAGAGACAAACAAAUGACCAAUAUGUUCUUCCAGGUCAUAUAGUUCUGGGCUCUGGGUUUUGGUAUUUUUUAAAAAUCACAAGAAUGCUUUUGAAAGGCUAAUUUUAUAGUUCAUUUACUGUAUAUAACAAAACAACCUCAACUUUUCAAAUCAUCCAGUUUUUAUUUAAGGGGUUAAAAUCAUCAUCUAUAGAGAUGGCAUAUAUUUGGGCCAAGAUCUCUAUAGAAUGUUCUGCAAAAUGCUCUUUUCUCCUAGUACUGCAUGGGACAAGUGUCUAACUCCUCGGCUUUAAUUCAGGUCAAUGUAGAGGCAGAAAAGACGGAAAGGGCAUAUGUUAUGUGAGUGGUAAGAGCUCAUGCCUGAGAAUUUGGAGUUUAUUUUUAAUUUAGUAUUGUUGUUUUCUCAGCUCAAUCACCUUCUCAGGCUCCCUUGGCCCAUCACUUAACCUCUCUGUGCCUCAGUUUCCUCAUGUGCAAAAUGGGGAUAAUAAUUGUGCUUGUUCAUCAAGUCCUUUGCAGUCCUGGGACGAAAAAGGGUGCUUUUUAAAAGUACCAUGUGCUAUAUAAUUGUUCUAAAUGCAAUAUAAUUUGAUUUAGGGUUGAGAGAAAGGCGUCUUUUUUUAGUCAGAGCAUCAGUUGAAUGUCGGCCAAAGUACUGUAGUACUUCCAUGAGACUGACUAGGGGUGUCACUAGCAAUAAAUUAUGGGAGACCCAAUGUCAGAAUCCUUAUCAACCCAUCACAUAUAUGCCAUGCAUGUUUUUGGACAAGAUAGAAAAGCUUUUCACUGUAAUAAAUUUCCUCAUUUCCUAGUCUUCCUUCACCAUGUGUGUAUAUUUCAUAAAGCUAACAGAAAAAAAAAA